UAAUUUUCUCCCAUAGUGCAAGGAGGGGAUAUGGCCUUCACCAUCUCCGACCGUGCGCUCACUCGCUUAUCUACUUUCAAUCGGAAAGCAUCGUUUUGUCCCCAAUUCCUCCACCAGAGACCCGCAUUGAUUCCGACCGCAGAAUCGCCACGAUGGCCUGUGAUUCGGUGCUCAGUAAUAAAUUCCAAUGGCGGCAAAACCCUCAGAACAUGCAAGAACUGCAAAACCCAAUUUGACCCUUCUCUCAAUCACCCUCGCGCUUGUCGCUUCCAUAUUGCCCAUUUUGGAGGUGAAACAAAGAGGAAGUUUGAGAGUGUUUACUCUGGAGGCACUAUGGAUACUCCUGACUCUGGCAGAGUUUUUCAAUACUGGCAUUGCUGUGGAUCUGAAGAUCCUUUUGACCCUGGAUGUACUGCUGCUCCUCACUCCUCGUAUGAUGACUGAUAUGGUUGGCAAUCCUUUUCUACAAACAAUGCAUGGUUCUGUUCUUUGGUAUGAAAUUCUUGAUUUUCAUUACUGUGUGCUUUCCAUAUUUAAAGGCUCAUUGUAUUCUGAUGUCCUACUGCUGUAGGAUAUGUAUUUUAGUCAUAGAUAUUUUAUUAUCUUUUCCAGAAAAUUACAGCCUUUUGACCAGUAGGAAGCAUGCUUUUUUUUUUCUUUUGCCCUAUUCAUAUUUAUUAUCUGUUCCAUGGCUCAAAUAAGUGGCUGAAACUUUUAGGUCAUGCCACUAAAUGUAACGAAAUCAGAUUAAAACCCUUGUCUAAAAUUUUCCAUCAAUGUUCUUUCUGUCAUGCAUGAUUCAUCUACUGCUAACUUUUCUACUUGGGUUGUGCAUAAAACUUAAUCAGGUUCAACAACUGCACAAUUUGUUUUUUCAGAUUUUGUUCCACAGUUCUACAGUAGGAGACAUGUUGCCAUGAAUUUAUAUAACCGGAAGGAGACCACAUGACAAAUUAAAUGUAAUGCAUUCAGUUUAUAUUUUAUUUGUGAAAUUUUUUUUUUCCACUGGUCUACUACUUGCAAAUUCUUGUGUAAAGCAGCCACCUUUUUGUUCUUUUAUUAAGAAUUCAUUACCUGUUCAUUUCAUUGUUUAUUUUCCCCCUUUUUGGUAGCAUUUGUAACUUGCAGUGCUCCUUUAGUGUUCAUCUUGAAGUUAAAACAUUUUCUUACUCGAAGUUCUCAUGUGUUGUGGCCACAAUACACUGAAUCCUUGUAAUGCAAUCCUUUUUUUUUGGGCCCUAUCCAUAGUGUUUCUUUGAACCAAAAUCUUUGAGAUUGAAACUUGUUUAGUUCUCAAGUCCGAACUACUUCUCAAAUUCUAGUAAAUUUAGUGUGAAAAUAAAAUCGAAGCACAGAACAAUCUGUUUUUGGUACAUGCACAAUGUCUUCAAUCAAAAACAACAACAAAAAAAAAAGGGUUUGGAGCAUGUUAGAGGAAGAGUAGGCGAAAAAGUGGUACAUCAUUUUUGAGAUUGUGUGAGUUAGAAUAAAAAAUAAAUAAAUAAACUAAUUAAAUUUCAAAACAUACUUGUAUGCAAGUUGCAUAAAGUCAGUUUGCAAUUCUGAGAGUUGGUUCAGUGAUAUAAAAUUAUUUUUGAGACUCACCUAUAAAUUUUAGCUUUUUGGUUAAGUUUUUUUUGACUUGUAUUAGAGUUUCUCAUAUGAAAAGAUUUAGAAUUCAAAUCUUGACCGCCCUCAUCUAUAUUUAAGCAUUUUAUAUUUGUACUUUUUCAUAAUUUAAAUCGAGUAAGCAUUCACGUGCAAAGGCCUGCCAAAGAUAUAAAAAUACUUUUUAGGCUCUUAUUUAUAAAUUUAAGCUUUUAAAUUGAAUUGUUUUUUGACAGAUUCACCAUUUGAGCAGCUGGCCUAAGUGCUACAUUUGAAGUCUAUAAGCUCACAGAUCCCAACAUCAACAAUCUUCAUAAAUGUGCCUUCUAAAGCAUAUGUUGUACUGUGCUUUCUAAGCGCUUUUUAAUUCUGGAUUUUGGGACUGCAUAGUUUGCUGCUUCCUAAGGACUGGUAGAGUUGCUUUUUGAAGGGAGCCUUUCUCCCUUGCAAGUGCCUUGUGUAGUUUGGGCUAAUGAGCCUCUUUGCUCAACCAAAAAAUUAAAAACAAAAAUCUUCAUAUGUGUGUGAAGCACGCUCGCCAUAGAUUUUUGAAAAAAUAAACUCAACAAACUUCAUUUUAAAGCUGGGAUCCAUGAAUUACAGCAAUUGCCAAGACCAGGCUGCAACCCUUCAAAUAUUUGCUGAUCUCUCUCAUUGCUCUGGUUAUACUGCUGACAAAGGGAUCCUCCCUUGCAACUGUAUGAGGCAGAUCAGUCUAGAAUCUAGACCCUCCAUGCUCAGAUCGUUGCAUAACAUAGUUGCGACAGGGUUAGCUCUGGAGAUAAGGAUAUUGGCUAAAUCAGAGAGAGGUCUCAAAUGUGCACAUAUUUGUGUUCCAUGGAUGGGGCCUCUUUUUAGCCAGGAUUGUUCUGACGCAUCACCAGCAUCUGAUACUUUAAACUGAGAGUCUCGCAGAUUUUCUUAUCAGUCACUCGCCCUUCCCAUACCACAGCUUUUGCAAUGCUGCUUAAAGCAUGAGCCAUUCAGUUCUCAAUCAAUAAUUGGCCAAUUAAGGGAUUUUUUUUUCCUUUUUUUAAUGCAAACUUGCAAAGUAGAAAUCUAAGAUUUUCAAGCGCAGCUUCACCCCCAGGAUGAUUGUUAAUGAAAGAACUGAGCUUGCCUCAAUCAGAAAAGCAACAAGCAAUUACCUGAAUCAGGAUAGGGUUGAUUCCAUCACAAGGCCCAAGACCAACAACACAAGCAAAACCAAAUUGUUUUUGGAUCUUGAAUAUGUUGUAUUUGCAUUUAAGUCUAAUUGUAAACAAAUACUAUGCAAUGGAAAAAUUAAAAAAAAAAAAAUAGUUGAGUUAAUCCACCCAAAACCAGGAUUUAACCCACGCCCAUAUGCUAUAGUCG
rnacentral:misc_RNA from 1 species